GACGAACGCUGGCGGCGCGCCUAACACAUGCAAGUCGAACGAGCGAGAGGAGGUUUACUUUCUCAAGCGAGUGGCGAACGGGUGAGUAACGCGUGAGGAACCUGCCUCAAAGAGGGGGACAACAGUUGGAAACGACUGCUAAUACCGCAUAAGCCCACGACCCGGCCUCGGGUAGAGGGAAAAGGAGCAAUCCGCUUUGAGAUGGCCUCGCGUCCGAUUAGCUAGUUGGUGAGGUAAUGGCCCACCAAGGCGACGAUCGGUAGCCGGACUGAGAGGUUGAACGGCCACAUUGGGACUGAGACACGGCCCAGACUCCUACGGGAGGCAGCAGUGGGGAAUAUUGCACAAUGGGGGAAACCCUGAUGCAGCGACGCCGCGUGGAGGAAGAAGGUCUUCGGAUUGUAAACUCCUGUUGUUGAGGAAGAUAAUGACGGUACUCAACAAGGAAGUGACGGCUAACUACGUG
rnacentral:rRNA from 1 species